CAUCCUGCUGCUCAUCCCCAUUAACUGCAGAAGCUGUCUGAAGUCAGGAACUGACCCCUUCUCACCAGCUUUGUGUGUCUUCUGUGGCAUCUUCUUCCAAGGAACAGGCUCACUUCACACUCUGUGGCCAGGUUGGUUCAGUCCAGCGACACGGAGCUCGUCAUGCGACAUAACACGAAGUGAUACCUGGCUGCUGGAUUAUCCCACUCUCUGGUAUCUGCAUUGACUCAAGAGCCUCACAGCUUUAGGCCUGUCAGCCAUCGAGUGCAGCUAUGCAAAUCUGCUGCAAGAAAAUGAGGUCUAUAAAUAAGAGACACCUUGGGCCUCCACAUUGGUGCAAGAGGUGUCUGAAAUGCAAGUGGAGGAUCACUCCCACUGGGAAGGUUGUGCUGCUGUCACCAGGAGCCAAUGCGAUGGGCGUACUGACAACUCACAAGACACAUGCAUGCUUCAGCCCCAAGAGAACAGAAGAGCUGAAUUCCCUUCAUUUCACUAUAAUGGAAACCCAGAUCCACCUUGACUGA
rnacentral:lncRNA from 14 species